rnacentral:rRNA from 1 species
GACGACGCUGGCGGCGUGCCUAAUACAUGCAAGUCGAGCGGGGCUGUUUGCUGGAAGCUUCGGGCGGAAAGCUUGCAGCCUAGCGGCGGACGGGUGAGUAACGACGUGGGGUAACCUGUCCUGAAGUACGGGAUAACAGUUCGAAAGGGCUGCUAAUACCGUAUGUGGUCAAGGGGAGUUCGCUUUCUUUGACUAAAGGUGAAAACCGCUUCAGGGUGGGCCCGCGUCCCAUUAGCUAGUUGGUAGGGUAAUGGCCUACCAAGGCGACGAUGGGUAGCCGGCCUGAGAGGGUGACCGGCCACACUGGGACUGAGACACGGCCCAGACUCCUACGGGAGGCAGCAGUAGGGAAUCUUGCGCAAUGGGGGAAACCCUGACGCAGCGACGCCGCGUGAGUGAAGAAGGCCUUCGGGUCGUAAAGCUCUGUCCUCCGGGAAGAUAAUGACGGUACCGGAGGAGGAAGCCCCGGCUAACUACGUG